rnacentral:rRNA from 1 species
GAUGAACGCUGGCGGCGUGCUUAACACAUGCAAGUCGAACGAUGAAGCCCAGCUUGCUGGGUGGAUUAGUGGCGAACGGGUGAGUAACACGUGAGUAACCUGCCCUUGACCCUGGGAUAAGCCUGGGAAACUGGGUCUAAUACUGGAUAUGACUUCUCAUCGCAUGGUGGGGGGUGGAAAGAUUUAUUGGUCUUGGAUGGACUCGCGGCCUAUCAGCUUGUUGGUGAGGUAAUGGCUCACCAAGGCGACGACGGGUAGCCGGCCUGAGAGGGUGACCGGCCACACUGGGACUGAGACACGGCCCAGACUCCUACGGGAGGCAGCAGUGGGGAAUAUUGCACAAUGGGCGCAAGCCUGAUGCAGCGACGCCGCGUGAGGGAUGACGGCCUUCGGGUUGUAAACCUCUUUCAGUAGGGAAGAAGCGAGAGUGACGGUACCUGCAGAAGAAGCGCCGGCUAACUACGUG